AAUAUUUAAGUGGUUAGAACCUGUCAUUUCAUGUUGUUGUUUUCAGGCUGACAUAAAUGACAGGACAAAGGAGCACGCAUUGAAAUAAAAGGAAAGUUCAGAACAGAUGUCAAGAAGCAUUUUUCAUGUUGAAUGUGCGGAGUGGUCAACCAGCUUGUGCUGUCAUACUCAAGGCUAUCCCUUGCCUGUCUUGCACAGUUUUGAUAUUGUUAACUGGAACAGAUUUGAAGUAGGAUUCAGCACUCCAAAUACCUGGACUCAAAUGCCAAAAGUCAUAUUUUCUAACCAACUACCGGAUGGAUCUACACAAACAUGCGACUAUCAUCAGUGAAUACUCAGGCCUUGUAACUGCAGCGAAAUAAUACCUUGUGUUUAUUUGAGUAUCGCCAAGUUGGCCAACAACAGGUAUGUAUCCUUGAGUUUUGUAUGUGGAGGGUAAGUGGGAUGGAUGGGUGACAGACUGAGCUGGAAUUGGCUGGGACUCAGAUGAUCACUCGGGCAGUUAUUUUGCCUGGUGCAUCACCACAUGAUGACACUGAACAGUUCUCACUUUGUAACGUUUCAUCACUUUCUAUCUGAAAAGGCACACUUCCAAAUUAAGUAAAGGAAUUAUUUUAAACAUAGCCACUUACUCUGUUUGCUC
rnacentral:lncRNA from 1 species